rnacentral:rRNA from 1 species
UACAGAGGUCCCAAGCGUUGUUCGGAUUCACUGGGCGUAAAGGGUGCGUAGGUGGCAAGGUAAGUUUGAUGUGAAAUCUUCGAGCUCAACUCGGAAACUGCAUUGAAUACUAUCUUGCUUGAGGAUUGGAGGGGAGGCUGGAAUUCUCGGUGUAGCAGUGAAAUGCGUAGAUAUCGAGAGGAACACCGGUGGCGAAGGCGGCCAACUGGACAGAUACUGACGCUGAGACACGAAAGCGUGGGGAGCAAACAGG